CGUUGCACUCCCGCUCCUCAUUGUUCUCCAGGGUCGGUCAGAGCCAGGUUCUUCCCUGUUUCAGGAAGUUUCCUCACGAGAAAGUGCAUUUCUUCAGCACCUUUUGUGUUUCCCCCUUGAAGUUCUCCACAUUUCCGCCUCUCCCUUGCCUGGCAGAGCUCAAGAAGCUUCUUUUCCAAGUCAAACCCAGCUGAAUGAUUGUCUCUUCUGGCUGGAAAACGGAGAAGGAGAAGCCAGGGAGCUGGAACAAGUGCAUGAGGAAUUACUGUCCCAGAAAUCUCUCCUGAAGGAACACUGGUUAUCUUCAGCUGGUGGGGGCAAAGCUGUCAGAAAGAAAAAUUUAUUAUUACUUUAACAAACAAUCCUAGGAGCUAUUUCAAGUGUUAUUGUUGCAUGAAAGAAUAAAAGAGGAAACAAA